ACGAACGCUGGCGGCAUGCCUAACACAUGCCAGUCGAACGAGACCUUCGGGUCUAGUGGCGCACGGGUGCGUAACGCGUGGGAAUCUGCCCUUCGGUUGGGAAUAACUGAGAGAAAUUUCAGCUAAUACCUUAUAAUGUCUUCGGACCAAAGAUUUAUCGCCGAGGGAUGAGCCCGCGUAGGAUUAGGUAGUUGGUGGGGUAAUGGCCUACCAAGCCGACGAUCCUUAGCUGGUCUGAGAGGAUGAUCAGCCACACUGGGACUGAGACACGGCCCAGACUCCUACGGGAGGCAGCAGUGGGGAAUAUUGGACAAUGGGCGAAAGCCUGAUCCAGCAAUGCCGCGUGAGUGAUGAAGGCCUUAGGGUUGUAAAGCUCUUUUACCCGGGAUGAUAAUGACAGUACCGGGAGAAUAAGCUCCGGCUAACUCCGUG
rnacentral:rRNA from 1 species